GCAGAGCAGAAGAGCAUGAAUAAAUCCUGUUGCCAAAGCAAAGUAAUUUGUAGAGAUCACAGCAGGUUCCUAGGCCAUGGUUGUGUAAGUCUGAAUUGAAUCCUGAGUCAUGGGUGUAGCCUCUAUUAUGUGCAGCAGGUAGAACAUUCUCCAGCCUGUAGAGAGCUGCCAGCGUGAUGAGGCCUACACCACCAAUGUUGCACAUAAAGAUCAACUGUGAAGCUCCUCGGGGUGCUCCUGAUUUAGAGGCUUCAGAGCUAAAGGAGACAAGUCACACUGGCCUGGAGUUCAUCAAAUUAACCCAAACAACUGUAUGAGUCUGUGAAAUUGGGCCCACACCUGAUCGUGCAGGAAUUCUAUUCAGUGUAACUCAUCUGAUCUAAACACAGUUACUCCUAAAGUGACAGAACAAAGCCACAAUUGGUAUGAGUGAGCGACCAGAG